UACAAGGAUUCCCCUAGUAACUGCGAGUGAAGCGGGAAAAGCUCAAAUUUGAAAUCUGGCAGUCUUUGGCUGUCCGAGUUGUAAUUUAGAGAAGUGCUGCCCGUGCCGGAACCGUGUACAAGUCUCCUGGGAUGGAGCGUCAUAGAGGGUGAGAAUCCCGUCUCUGACACGGACUACCGGUGCAUUGUGGUACACUUUCAAAGAGUCGAGUUGUUUGGGAAUGCAGCUCAAAAUGGGUGGUAAAUUCCAUCUAAAGCUAAAUAUUGGCGAGAGACCGAUAGCGAACAAGUACCGUGAGGGAAAGAUGAAAAGAACUUUGGAAAGAGAGUUAAACAGUACGUGAAAUUGCUGAAAGGGAAACGCUUGAAGUCAGUCGCGUUGGCUGGGAAUCAGCCUUGGCAGCCGCCUUGGUGUACUUUCUGGUCGACGGGUCAACAUCAAUUUUGACUGCUGGAAAAAGGCUUGAGGAAUGUGGCAGCUUCGGCUGUGUUAUAGCUUCUGGUCACAUACAGCAGUUGGGAUUGAGGAACUCAGCAUGCCGCAAGGCCGGGUUUCGACCACGUUCAUGCUUAGGAUGUUGGCAGAAUGGCUUUAAGCGACCCGUCUUGAAACACGGACCAAGGAGUCUAACAUGCCUGCGAGUGUUAGGGUGGAAAACCCUUGCGCGUAAUGAAAGUGAAAGUUGAGAUCCCUGUCGUGGGGAGCAUCGACGCCCGGACCAGAACUUUUGGGACGGAUCCGCGGUAGAGCAUGUAUGUUGGGACCCGAAAGAUGGUGAACUAUGCCUGAAUAGGGUGAAGCCAGAGGAAACUCUGGUGGAGGCUCGUAGCGAUUCUGACGUGCAAAUCGAUCGUCAAAUUUGGGUAUAGGGGCGAAAGACUAAUCGAU
rnacentral:rRNA from 1 species